rfam:Rhodospirillales bacterium 70-18 SCNpilot_cont_750_bf_scaffold_181, whole genome shotgun sequence.
GGGCGCAUAGCUCAGUUGGUAGAGCAGCUGACUCUUAAUCAGCGGGUCGUAGGUUCGAAUCCUACUGCGCCCA